rnacentral:rRNA from 1 species
AUACGGAGGAUCCGAGCGUUAUCCGGAUUUAUUGGGUUUAAAGGGUGCGCAGGCGGCCAUUUAAGUCAGCGGUUAAAUCGUGGGGCUCAACCCCAUUCUGCCGUUGAUACUGGGUGGCUUGAUUGCGGUCGAGGUUGGCGGAAUUAGUUGUGUAGCGGGGAAAUGCAUAGAUAUGACGAAGAACACCGAUUGCGUAGGCAGCUGACCAGACCGCAAAUGACGCUCAUGCACGAAAGUGCGGGGAUCGAACAGGAUUAGAUACCCUGGUAGUCCGCACAGUAAACGAUGAAUACUUGUUUUCGGCGAUAUAAUGUCGGAGGCAAAGCGAAAGCGAUAAGUAUUCCACCUGGGGAGUACGCCGGCAACGGUGAAACUCAAAUGAAUUGACGGGG